rnacentral:tRNA from 3 species
GCGGGCGUGGCGGAAUGGUAGACGCGCCGGAUUUAGGUUCCGGUGUCGAAAGACGUGGGGGUUCAAGUCCCUUCGCCCGCACCA